rnacentral:rRNA from 1 species
UACGACGGUAGGGUCGACGUUGGUCGACUAGGUCGUGUCGUCAGCUCGUGUCGUGAGAUGUUGGGUUAAGUCCCGCAACGAGCGCAACCCUCGCCUUUAGUUGCCAGCAUUCAGUUGGGCACUCUAGAGGGACUGCCGGUGUCAAACCGGAGGAAGUGGGAUGACGUCAAGUCCUCAUGGCCUUUAUGUCCAGGGCUACACACGUACUACAAUGGCCGGUACAAAGGGCAGCCACUCAGCGAUGAGGCGCUAAUCCCAUAAAGCCGGUCUCAGUCCGGAUCGCAGUCUGCAACUCGACUGCGUGAAGUUGGAAUCGCUAGUAAUCGCGGAUCAGCAUGCCGCGGUGAAUACGUUCCCGGGCCUU